rnacentral:rRNA from 1 species
AGCGAACGCUGGCGGCAGGCCUAACACAUGCCAGUCGAACGAACCUUUCGGGGUUAGUGGCGGACGGGUGAGUAACACGUGGGAACGUGCCUUUAGGUUCGGAAUAACUCAGGGAAACUUGUGCUAAUACCGAAUGUGCCCUUCGGGGGAAAGAUUAAUCGCCUUUAGAGCGGCCCGCGUCUGAUUAGCUAGUUGGUUGAGGUAAUGGCUCACCAAGGCGACGAUCAGUAGCUGGUCUGAGAGGAUGAUCAGCCACAUUGGGACUGGGACACGGCCCAAACUCCUACGGGAGGCAGCAGUGGGGAAUCUUGCGCAAUGGGCGAAAGCCUGACGCAGCCAUGCCGGGUGAAUGAUGAAGGUCUUAGGAUUGUAAAAUUCUUUCACCGGGGACGAUAAUGACGGUACCCGGAGAAGAAGCCCCGGCUAACUUCGUG